CCAUAGUGUGNUCUGGAAACUGUCUGACUUGAGUGCAGAAGGGGAGAGUGGAAUUCCAUGUGUAGCGGUGAAAUGCGUAGAUAUAUGGAGGANCACCAGUGGCGAAAGCGGCUCUCUGGUCUGUCACUGACGCUGAGGCUCGAAAGCGUGGGUAGCGAACAGGAUUAGAUACCCUGGUAGUCCACGCCGUAAACGAUGAGUGCUAGGUGUUAGGCCCUUUCCGGGGCUUAGUGCCGGAGCUAACGCAAUAAGCACUCCGCCUGGGGAGUACGACCGCAAGGUUGAAACUCAAAGGAAUUGACGGGGGCCCGCACAAGCGGUGGAGCAUGUGGUUUAAUUCGAAGCAACGCGAAGAACCUUACCAGGUCUUGACAUCCCGAUGCUAUUCUUAGAGAUAGGAAGUUACUUCGGUACAUCGGAGACAGGUGGUGCAUGGUUGUCGUCAGCUCGUGUCGUGAGAUGUUGGGUUAAGUCCCGCAACGAGCGCAACCCUUAUUGUUAGUUGCCAUCAUUAAGUUGGGCACUCUAGCGAGACUGCCGGUAAUAAACCGGAGGAAGGUGGGGAUGGCGUCAAAUCAUCAUGCCCCUUAUGACCUGGGCUACACACGUGCUACAAUGGUCGGUACAACGAGUUGCGAGCCGGUGACGGCAAGCUAAUCUCUGAAAGCCGAUCUCAGUUCGGAUUGGAGGCUGCAACUCGCCUCCAUGAAGUCGGAAUCGCUAGUAAUCGCGGAUCAGCACGCCGCGGUGAAUACGUUCCCGGGCCUUGUACACACCGCCCGUCACACCACGAGAGUUUGUAACACCCGA
rnacentral:rRNA from 1 species